rnacentral:rRNA from 1 species
UAAGUAAGCUUUGAUCCAGAGAUUUCCGAAUGGGGAAACCCAGCAUGAGUUAUGUCAUGUUAUCGAUAUGUGAAUACAUAGCAUAUCAGAAGGCACACCCGGAGAACUGAAACAUCUUAGUACCCGGAGGAAGAGAAAGAAAAUUCGAUUCCCUUAGUAGCGGCGAGCGAAACGGGAAGAGCCCAAACCAACAAGCUUGCUUGUUGGGGUUGUAGGACACUCUAUACGGAGUUACAAAGGACGACAUUAGACGAAUCAUCUGGAAAGAUGAAUCAAAGAAGGUAAUAAUCCUGUAGUCGAAAAUGUUGUCUCUCUUGAGUGGAUCCUGAGUACGACGGAGCACGUGAAAUUCCGUCGGAAUCUGGGAGGACCAUCUCCUAAGGCUAAAUACUCUCUAGUGACCGAUAGUGAACCAGUACCGUGAGGGAAAGGUGAAAAGCACCCCGGAAGGGGAGUGAAAUAGAACCUGAAACCGUGUGCUUACAAGUAGUCAGAGCCCGUUAAUGGGUGAUGGCGUGCCUUUUGUAGAAUGAACCGGCGAGUUACGAUUUGAUGCAAGGUUAAGCAGUAAAUGUGGAGCCGUAGCGAAAGCGAGUCUGAAUAGGGCGUUUAGUAUUUGGUCGUAGACCCGAAACCAGGUGAUCUACCCUUGGUCAGGUUGAAGUUCAGGUAACACUGAAUGGAGGACCGAACCGACUUACGUUGAAAAGUGAGCGGAUGAACUGAGGGUAGCGGAGAAAUUCCAAUCGAACCUGGAGAUAGCUGGUUCUCUCCGAAAUAGCUUUAGGGCUAGCCUCAAGUGAUGAUUAUUGGAGGUAGAGCACUGUUUGGACGAGGGGCCCCUCUCGGGUUACCGAAUUCAGACAAACUCCGAAUGCCAAUUAAUUUAACUUGGGAGUCAGAACAUGGGUGAUAAGGUCCGUGUUCGAAAGGGAAACAGCCCAGACCACCAGCUAAGGUCCCAAAAUAUAUGUUAAGUGGAAAAGGAUGUGGCGUUGCCCAGACAACUAGGAUGUUGGCUUAGAAGCAGCCAUCAUUUAAAGAGUGCGUAAUAGCUCACUAGUCGAGUGACACUGCGCCGAAAAUGUACCGGGGCUAAACAUAUUACCGAAGCUGUGGAUUGUCCUUUGGACAAUGGUAGGAGAGCGUUCUAAGGGCGUUGAAGCAUGAUCGUAAGGACAUGUGGAGCGCUUAGAAGUGAGAAUGCCGGUGUGAGUAGUGAAAGACGGGUGAGAAUCCCGUCCACCGAUUGACUAAGGUUUCCAGAGGAAGGCUCGUCCGCUCUGGGUUAGUCGGGUCCUAAGCUGAGGCCGACAGGCGUAGGCGAUGGAUAACAGGUUGAUAUUCCUGUACCACCUA